rnacentral:rRNA from 1 species
UACGAAGGGGGGCUAGCGUUGCUCGGAAUGACUGGGCGUAAAGGGCGCGUAGGCGGUUUGGACAGUCAGAUGUGAAAUUCCUGGGCUCAACCGUGGGGGGCUGCAUUUGAUACGUUCGGACUAGAGUGGGGAAGAGGGUCGUGGAAUUCCCAGUGUAGAGGUGAAAUUCGUAGAUAUUGGGAAGAACACCGGUGGCGAAGGCGGCGACCUGGUCCUUGACUGACGCUGAGGCUCGAAAGCGUGGGGAGCAAACAGG